ensembl:lncRNA
AUGUUCCUGCUGCAAAUGAUGACCCAUUUGCUUCCAGAAAGGACUGCUCUGCACGCAGCUGCAGAGGUGGAGGCCGCGCGCUCUGAGCCCCCCUCCCAGCCAGGCUGCGGCGAGUGGGCUCGGCUGCACGAGUUUAGAAUGUUCCCAAGACUCCUGCGGAGAGAGACUCCGUCCUGGCCCGGGUCUAUUCUUAGCAGUGCUCACAGCCGGUCCCGGGAGAAGGCUGGCUGUUCCGCAGCGUCUGGCUUUCUCCGUCCAAUCUUCGGUGGAGCCUUCUGUUUCCGCCUUCAGACGGAACCAGGAAGCAUACAUGAGGCUUCCGUUACGGGUCACCACGAAUCCAGGAACGAACCAGCCGGGCUGCUGCCCUCAAAUGACCCAGGGCAGCCGCGGUGGAGACAAGCAGAACCUGCCAGGACACACUGUGGUCAGUCCCGAACUCUUGUCCCAGAGCCUUGUGUUUUGGGAGCACGGACGGAAACUAAUUGUCCCAGAGGCGGACAGGGAAGGCUUAACGGAGGAGAUGAUACACUCAAUUUAUACCAUCGGUGGACAGUAAUCAUCAACCGCUUCAGAAGAUUCCCUCUGUGGGCUACAAUUUUCAUUCCCAUUCGAAAGUCCUCCUGGAGUGUAGCAUGAUUUAUUUCCUUACCAGCCAGCCUAACUUCUUUCAGUAACAGAAUCCGUCAGUCCCCUCCUGAUCUACAUGAUAAUGAAAAAUACUGGGAAAACACACUGGGGCCAUUCUAUGAGCACCUGCCUAUAGAUUUAUUUUUUUAAUACUUUUUUUUAAUUUUUUAUUUUUUUUAAUUUACAUCCCAAUUAGUUAGCAUAUAGUGCAACAAUGAUUUCAGGAGUAGAUUCAUUAGUGCCCCUGACCCAUUUAGCCCAUCCCCCCUCCCAAGCCCCUCCAGUAACCCUCAGUUUGUUCUCCAUGUUUAUGAGUCUCUUCUGUUUUGUCCCCUUCCCUGUUUUUGUAUUAUUUUUGUUUCCCUUCCCUUAUGUUCAUCUGUUUUGUCUCUUAAAGUCCUCAUACGAGGGAAGUCCUAUGAUUUUUGUCUUUCUCUGACGGACUCAUUUCACUUAGCGUAACACCCUCCAGUUCCAUCCACAUAGUUUGCAAAUGGCAAGAUUGCAUUCUUUUUCAUUGCCGAGUAAUACUCCAUUAUAUAUAUGUACCACAUUUUCUUUAUCCGUUCAUCCAUCGAUAGACAUUUGGUAUGAGCACCUGCCUAUAGAAGCCUCGUCCCACAACCCCUCGUCCCAUCUUUGGGCUUGGACCCUCCUGGUCCAUUUGCUGGUUGAAGAACGCCCUCAGAAACCUUUGGGGCACAUUGACCCUCUCUCCUGGAACCUCCUUCCCCACCCUCCCUCUGCCCCUCACAUCCAGAUCCUAUUUUUCCUUCAAGGGCCCACCAUCUCACCUCACCAUGCUUUCCCCGGAAAUGGUUGCUCUCUCUAAGUUCUAUCCCCACUGCUCUUAUGCCCAAUCACAUUGACUCUGGUGUGUGUGAUGGAAUCAUUGAGGGUGGCAUCCCAGAUACAGAUGGACAGACGAUCAAGGGGCUACCUGUGGAAGGAGACUUGCCCCAGAACUCAGUAGAGCACACUGCCUGUAUCACUUGAAGCUUUGUGAUGUGGGUCCUUCCUAAGGUCACCAAGCAUUUGCAGGUCUCCUGAGAGCAGAGUUCACGUCUGGCUCAGAGUUGUCCGGCCAACACCCAGCACAUGCCCUAGAACCAAUGCAUGCUCAUCAUUACACGUUGAGUGAAUAAAAGCUUCUUUCCAGAUAUGAGACA